rnacentral:tRNA from 1 species
GCCAGAGUGGUGAAAUUGGCAUACACGCAGGUUUUAGGAACCUGUGCCCGAAUAAGGCGUGGGAGUUCAAGUCUCCCCUCUGGCA